CCUCCUGCAGCUCACGGGCAGCCAAAGACACUUGGGCCUCCCCAGGAAAGACGCAGGGGCCUUCUUGAUGUCCGAGUCAGAGCCGGGAGCAGAAUGGAGACUGGCCCACGUCCACUUCUGUCUGAGUCAGGCCUUUAAGGGGAAGAACACUGAGUUUAUCUAAAGCGCUGUGAAUUCCCACAGCCUUCGGCAGACCCGUACUCCAGCCUGAGCACAAAAACAAAUUCUGCAGCCAAGGGGAUGACUGGUGAUGAACCCCAGGGCCUCCGUGCUACAUUCCGAAUGACAUGUCCACAUUUGCCAUGGACAAGAAUGACAGAUGGAGAAGAUUCGUCUCUGACCCUUGAAAGCCGGUCAUGUUCUGUGAGGAAACUAUAAAAAAGGAACAACGUAUUGAUCCAUCCUAGAACAUAGAGGAACCUUGGGAACAUGAUGCUAAAUGAAAGAAGCCAGACGCAAAAGGCCACAGAGUGUAUGGUUUCAUUUACAUCAAAGAUCUGGGAUAGGCA